GGGCGAGUCCGGGACCAGGGAGAAUGGGUCGCACGGGGCAGGCUGCGGAGGGGGAUGCAGCUGGCUUAGGGUCGGUGUUCGUCACGGUGUUACUGACACUGGCGCUCUCUAUACCAACCACUGCGCUGCUGGUUGUGUACUUCAAGUGUGACAGCCAGCUGGCAUCGAACCACCAGGGAACUGAUAACUCCUCCAAGUGGGCCGAGCCAUCAGGGACAGUCAGCACUGAAGGGGAGCCACUGAGUAUCGUCAACACUGGCAAGCCAGCUGCCCAUCUUAUUGGGAUAUACCAGGACCCAGCAGAGGGUGAGGUGCACCGCACCCUGAUGUGGGAGUCAGUGAGAGGGUCAGCCUUCACCACCAACCUGGUGAAGUACCAUGGCCACUCACUGAUCGUGCCCAAGCGGGGCCUCUACUACGUCUACUGUCAGGUGGGCUUCCGGGGCAGCGAGUGCCAGGAGAAGCCCCUCACCCUCUCCCACCAGGUGUACCGACGGCAUGACUCCUAUCCCCAGCCCCUUCUGUUGCUCACUGGGACCGAGACCGUGUGUGGAAGAAGCCAGGGUCGAGGCAUCUGGUACACAACGCUCAGCCAUGGCGCAAUGGUGGAGCUGGAACAAGACCACCACCUCUAUGUUAACGUCAGCAACCCCACCUUGGUCGACUACCUGGAUGGCAAGACCUUCUUUGGAGUCAUCAAGAUCUGAUCAAGGGGUCCGGGGAAGGGUUGGGGCAGGUUACUUUUCCCCAUCUUCCCUCUCUGUUUUGCCUUUUGUUUUUAAGAUCUAUGUAUAUCCUAUCUGAUUUUUCAACUGCUUGCAACAGUCUGGCAAGAUACAGAAGCCUGGUUAUGUAGGAAGAGGGUAGGAGAGGGGUUUGGUUGAGAAAGGUCUCAGUCCAAAAUGUCAACUGUUCAUUCCCCUGCCUGACCUGCUGAGUUCCUGCAGCAUUUUGUGUGUGUUGCUUAAGAUUUCCAGCAUCUGCAGAGCCUGCUGCUGAUGUAGGGUCUCUGCCCAAAGCAUCCACUGCAUUUUUCCUUCUAUAUACGCUACCUGCCCUGCUGAGCUCCUGCAGCAUUUUGUGUUUGGUGCUCAAGAUUUCCAGAAUCUGUAGAAUCUCUUGUGUUUCUUAAUUAGUCAAGUCCAGGCUAUUGGAGAAUAGCAGUAGAAGUGGUCAAAGAGGUGAAGCAAGAAGGAUUCAUGAGGGCCUGGGUCACAAGGGUUGAAGGUCUGAGCAAGUCUAAAAUUCAAAGCCUGAAGGUCAAGCACAUGAUAAACAUGAUUAACAAGUCCAGGGGUCAAGUGGUACCACACUUCUGGUGCCAACAGAGCAUGCGCACAGUUCACUAAAGCCAACCUUUGGAAUGUUUGUGGAACCCAGAUGAAAGCCAUGUGGUCGUGGGGGAUGUGCGAGCUCCUCACAAACAGAGGCAGGACUUGAACUGCGAUUACUGGUGCAGCCAGUACGGUACCAUUCCAUCCUACUUGAUAGAGCUUGAAGUGACUAUCUGUAGGGUGUCAAAGUAUAAUGGCAUCAUUGCCAAGUGAAUGAGGUGGUCAUCGGUAAUUGGUUUACGUUAUUGCUUAUUGUUAUUCUUUCAUGAUGGAGACCCUGGAGUCGUCUGGGGUGGAGAAAUCCAAAGGCUGAGUAAAGACUGACCCCUCACCUCUGUCCAGAACAGCCAACUGUUUAUUUUGAGACUGUGAACCCUAAUUCCAGACAUUCAAUCAGGGGAGGUGGCAAAUCUUCCCAAAAUUAGACUAGAUCACCUCCCACUUGUCCAGCACCGGACAGGUUAAUUUGAUAAAUUGCCACACUGUCCAUUGAUCCCCGAAUUUAAUCCUAGCCUACUCAUGGAUCAGUUUAUAAUUCUGAUAGGUCUUGGAGUGUGGGAGGAAACCGGAGCACCAGGAGGAAACCCACAUGGUCGGGAGGAGAAGGUACAAACUCCUUACAGGCAGUGGCAGGAUUUGAAUCCUUAUCGCCUGUACUGUAAAGCAUUGUGCCACUACCGUGCCACUCCCUGUAUCAAAGUGCAGGGAAAAAAGGUUGUUUUGCAUGUCAUUUCAUUUAAUUGUACUGUAUCAGUGCAUUGAGGUUGUACAAGGGAAAAAUAGUUAGAAAAUGCAGAAUAAACCGAAUCACAAACGAGAGUCAAACAGGACACGAAUUGUUCCAGUUGCUCCAGCAUUUCGUGCGUGCGCGUUGCAGAAGAGAAGUGUUACAGUUAUUUUAGCAUAGCGGUUAGUGCAUCGUUUUACAGUGCCAGCGAUCGGGGUCAAUGCCUGCAGGGAGUUCUCCCCGUGACCGGGCGCUUCGGUUUCUUCCCGCAUUCCUAAAGCGUACAGGUUAGGCUGUUGGCGCAGGAAGCGCGUCGAAGCUUGCGGACUGCGCCCUAGCACAUCCUCGGACUGUGAAACAUUUGGUCUUUGACGCAGUUUCAGUAUACAGGUCACAAAUAUAGCUAAUCUUUAAUCUUUAGAGAAAAUGCUACUCAAGCAGACAACACGGUUCAAGGGCCACGACGAUGUAGUUAGAUCGAGCGUUCAAUGACGUCAAAUGUUUCACUCCUUAAAGAAUGGAGCGUCUCCCACUCGCUCAUGCGGGCCUCUGCAGGCCCCACCCGGGGAUCAAGCUGGAAUUCUGCCGUUAAGAGCUGGAAAGGAGCGGCAGCCGGAGAGAUGAUGGGCGGACGGGGCUACAGCGGGACUCGGAGGACGAAGCCUGACAUCUAUUAAUCUCGGGUUGCGUGGGCAGCGAGGGCACAGGCUAGAAGCUGGAGGCAAUGGGUCCAUCUCUCGGUCAGUUGGGGACAGCAGCCAAUCACCUUGUUGACGUGGCAAAAGAAAGCCUGGAGUUCGAGGCUCCUAACGUAGGAAAUGCUUAUUCCAAUCGGCCCAUCACUCCUAUCAGCGAAACUUCUGUCAGGCCGCAGUUGGGGCACUUUGAGCAAUUCUGUGACCUGUACCUAAGAAAAGAUGCGCUGGCAUUGUAGAGGAUCUAGAGAAGGUUAACGGGAAUGAUUCCAAGAAUGAAAGGGUUAACGUAUGAGGAGCGUUUGAUGGCUCUGGGUCUGUAUUCGCUGGGGUUUAGUAAAAUAGGGGUGGUGGGGGUGGGAUCUCAUUGAAAUCUAUCGAAUGUUAAAAGUCUGGUGGAUGUGGAGAAGAUGUUUCCUAGGUGGAAGAGUCUAGGACCAAAAGGCACAGCCUCGGGAAAGCGGGACGCUGAUUUAGAGCAGAGAUGAGGAAAACUUUAUUUAGCUAGAGUGUACUGAAUCUGUGUAAUCCGUUGCCCCGGGCAGCUGUCGAAGCCAAGUGUCUGAGUGUAUUUAAAGCGAAGGUUGACGCGAUCUGGAUUAGUAAAAUGUUUAUUUAAAGCGGGUUCUGGAUUAGUAAAAUGUUACGGGGUGAAGGCAGAAGAAUGGGGUUACGAGGGAAAAUAAAUCAGGCAGGAUGGAAUAGAGUCGAUGGGCCGAGUGGCUCGAUUCCGCUCCUAUAGGUUAUGGUAUUAUGGACAUUUAUUGUAUCGGGAGGUUAUAUUUCUUGGGAUGCGUGUCAAGUGUUCGGACGGGGUAAAGCUCCGAGACACUUGUGGGAGGGCGGGGGCUGGUGGAGGAGGUGGCUUGGGUUUACCACCUCUCUCCAAUAUCGGAACCCGCUGACAGUGCGGAACACAGCGGUGCGAUGGAAACCACCCGAGCGGUCUCGUACUCAAACACCCCCACCAUCGGGCUCGCCAGGGUGCAGCCGAAAGCUUCAACGACGUGCCGGACCAGCGCUCCAGUGAGCGCCAGCAGCACUGCACCCCUGGUUUCCUUCUGAUUCUGACCAUCAUUCCACAGUCAAAGCCACUUAGAUCACAUUUCUUCCUCAUUCUGAUGUUUGGUCUGAACAACCGCUGACCCUCUUGGCCAUGUCUGCAUGCAGUUACGCAUUGAGUUGCUGCCACAUGAUUGGCUGAUUAGUGAACAGGUGCACCUAAUAAAAUGGUCACUGGAUGUAUUCCGGAGUUUCCAUGAGUUUUCUGAUGUGUAAAGAAGUUAUUUGGGCCGCUGGUUGUAACAGCUCGCAGUCUCGUCCCAUACCUAUAUCUGCAUCUCUUUAACCUGUUCUUCCCUCAUUACAGGAAGCAUGUGGAGGUUUUGGAGGGGAGCAAAAGAGGUUCACCAGUAUCAGAGGGUAUGAGCUGCAAGGAGAGGCUUGACAAAUUUGAGGUGGUUUCUCCGGGGCGUCGGAGGCCGAGGGGAAACCUGAUGGAAGUGUGCUU